UACGGAGGGAGCUAGCGUUGUUCGGAAAUACUGGGCGUAAAGCGCAUGUAGGCGGCGCAGCAAGUCAGGGGUGAAAUCCCGGGGCUCAACCCCGGAACUGCCCUUGAAACUGCAGUGCUAGAAUUCUGGAGAGGCGAGUGGAAUUCCGAGUGUAGAGGUGAAAUUCGUAGAUAUUCGGAAGAACACCAGUGGCGAAGGCGACUCGCUGGACAGACAUUGACGCUGAGGUGCGAAAGCGUGGGGAGCAAACAGG
rnacentral:rRNA from 1 species